UUUACUAUAUAGCAAGAGUUCUAUACAAAAUAAAUAAAUAAUUACAUUAUAAGGAGACAACGGUCCAGCAACCCAUAGUUGACUGGGAGACGACGGCCUAGACCUCUCACGAACUCAUCACAGCAUCCUCCAUGCGCCUCAUCCUGCGGUACCUGUUCUUGACCUGUGGGGGGGGUGUGAGACAGCAAGAGUGAGCUCACAUACGUUCAUCGCUCAACAAGUUGUGGGGAAUAAUGUGCAUGAACUCGCCAAAGGUGGGAGCUCACGUGAAGUGUAAGGCUUACCAAAGAGGAUGGUUAGAGCUGAGCAUUGCUUUUAAAGUUGGUCAAAAUUUUAUUAGCAGUUACUAAGUAUAAGUAAAUACCGACCCAAUUAAGUAGUCGAACAAAAGUAACAACCUCACCUGCGAUGCAAUGCAUAUGACAAAUUGAGUUUAGGUUCCAUAAUUUAAUCAUGUGAGUGUCCGAGCUGCUCAUGACCGUGAGCACGGCUAAUAUACCAGUUUUACACUCUGCAGAGGUUGCGCAUCUUUACCCACAAGUCAUGUUACCCAUCUGCCAAGGGAUCGCGACUUCCCAUACACCUCUACCGAGGAGGCGAGGCAGGGUAACACUACGAGGCCUUUACAAAGUUCCACUAGCUUCAGAAAACCCGCUACAGUUUAUAGGAAGCUCCAAUGCAGGAAUCCCUUGCAGGACCGCCAUCGCAGCAAAAUCCUCCCGAGGGCCUCUCUGCACUGACCACUCCCCUACUGCCCUUGCCCCUUUCGGGUAAGGUAGUCUUCCACUAGCUUUCCUAAUUAGUUAGCCAAGGGCGUCCAUAAACCCUUGUGGUAGCACUGUUUUCUCGGGUGGUUCUCCAUGUUCCAAUUAACAUAAUGAUCUUAUCAUGAACAGUAAAUAACAACUGAUAAUAAAAGUGUAAUCAUGAAUAAUGUAUCUCCAUACCCAAAACCACAUAUAGCACUAGCAAGUACUACCCAAAAAGUGCAGGGGUAAUCAAGGUAUAAAGAUAAUCAAACUAGGGUAACCUGUUGGGUCCCAUCAAAAUUAACCUAUGCAGAUCAUUAUGAUUAAUCAGAACAUGACUGGGUAAAAGAAGUGAUCAAGGGCACAACUUGCCUGGGACUUGAGAUUCCAGGUACCAGGAUGAUCUUCAGGUGACUCGUGACCUCACGCUAGUCGUAGCAAUACAAACAGACAUGGUAUAGACAAAAUUAACAUUACACCAAACAUAAGCACAAACUGUAUAAUAAUACUCUACGCGUCAUAACGAGAUCGUAGAAACAAGAACCACUAAAUUCGGAGCUACGGUUACCGAGUUAUAAAUUUCCGAAGAUCCACGUGGUUAAAUAUAGAAUAGACUAAGUGCAACAUUUUAACCUAUUUUUCAUGACAAAACAAAGUUACCAGAUGAUAAUAAAUAUUAUUGUGAGACUAAUGCAACUAGAAUGGAUUAAAACGGAGUUACGAAUAUUGAGUUAUGAAUUUCUGAAAUUAUUUAGCACCUAGAAUAGAUUAAUUUAAUUGAGCAAUCUUAAUUCAAGUUUCAUGGUUAACAAAGGUACUAGGUGGUAAACAAUAUUAAUACAAAAUUAUUGCAACUGAAAUGACUCAAUUUGGAGUUAAAUUCAUCAAGUUAUGAAUUUCCUAAGUUUGGGACAUUAUUUUGCAUUAAAAAGAAUUUCUGUAUUAAAUUUAAUAGAUUUCUGAGUUACUUGGACUGCGGCCACUAUUUAACAGAAACCCAGGGGGUUCUGCGCAAAAGCCACCAAGACUCAGAACUCCCCCAGUGUGGACUGCGGGUUGUUUAUAUGGUUUUACAGGGUCUCUUUAGCAAAUAUUACAUCGCGAAGGGGUACCGGUGAAGAUCGGUCGUCCGAUCACUGAUCAAGGGCCCAUAUUAGAUCGCACAUCCCUGCAAACCGGUACGACUCGGUAUCCUUGGAUCAUAAAUGAACGGCCUAGAUUUUAUGAGGCUUGAUCUGCAUCGGACGGCCGAGAAGGGUUCAGGCCGAACCGAUACCCAAGAUUUAAUCCCUGCCCUACAACUCUGAUCUAACGACCAUCCACACGUCUUCAACCUCCAGACGCACACAAUGGCCGCGCAGGGUGACAGCCGCUGGGCUACCUCGAGGAGGAGCACAGCCAUCAGCUCGCCCCACACGCGGGACAGGCGUCGAGGCAGCAGCGGACGCCUGGCCGUUGCCCAAGGCGAGAGCACACCCAGGUAAAAAAAUAUCGUUGCAUGGACAUAACUACUCCUGACCUUUACGAAUCUCGACGGAGGGGGAGGUACCUGCACGAUUCGGUGGUGGCCAGGCCCAGGCUUUCCCGAAAUGAUGGCGUCGAUGUUGCUACCCACAGUACAAGCAGCGUUUGCGGAGUAGACGAACUCCGGCGAGAUCCUCCAUGGCACAGGUUCGAUCUCCAGAGCCGGCGCCCGGGACCCUGGUGACGGUGUGUCCGAUUCCUUUGGUGGCUGCUUUUAGUUCUCUCUCGGCAAGGGUACGAGCGGUAGAUGGUGAUGGCUGUAUGCCUCAAGUAUUUAUGCACCAGAGGGGGAGAUCGGCUGGUGGUACCUGGCUAGCAUCUUGUGCGGCAUGCAGCGAUUUGGUCGCAAGGUUGUUACGAGGAUAGAGAUGCUACAGCAGAGCCCCACAUGUCCACGAGCCGGUGCCCGCGAGCGUCCUUCCGCCCGACAUGCAUGGCCCUGUACGUGCCGAUAGCAAACGGAUGCAUGCAAGAGAAUUCAACGACCAAUUUGCUAGCGAACUGGAGAUCCAACGAGAUGACCUCAUACCUGAUGUCAUGCUAAUACAUACUCCGGCCAACAUGAAUAAAGAAACGGACUAAACUGGGAAACCCAUCACGCAAGAGAAUAAAGAAUUAGAGAGAAGAAUAAAUAAAACAUGCAUGCAUGUAUAUGGGACUUGGACCGAUUUUUUUUUUAGGCAGAAUACGUGAGUUUUCUAUUCUCCUUUCUCUUCUUUUUUUUCCUAUUUAUACUUUCAUUUUCUUUUCUUUAGAGUUUAAUUUUAAAUCAAGUUUUGAAUUUCAAACUUAAUUAAAAUGCACAAUCAAAAGGAUACCAGUGCGAGAAUCAAAUCAUAUGUAUUUUAGAUGUUUUAUUUAUUAUUUACCAUUGCCUUUUAAAUGUGUAAUUCCCACAUAUUUAUUUCAAGAACAAUAUUUUUAUAUUGUAUGACCUCCAUAAAGAAAAUGCUCUAACAUAUAUCUUAAAGUGAAUAUCAAUACUACUAUUUGCAAUAUUUUUUAUUUAUUUUCCCUUAUACAAAUUUUUGGGCUUUACAAAUCCUACCCCCUUAAAAAUAAUCUCGUCCCCGAGAUUUGUGAGAAAAGGAACACAAAAGGAUUGGUCAGCUGUUAGUCUAUAAUUGGUUCAAAAAUUCAGAGUCUCAUUUUGUUAGUCAAUAGUGGGUGAUUAGGAGAGCAUAUGUAUCCAUCUACUUAUUAUGUGGAAUAAGAGAUGGAUAGGUUAGGGCAGGACAUAGUAGGGUAAGGAAGAACUCCAUCCCGGAUUGUGGAUCUUGACUCAUCUUGGUGAUGUAGCUUGAUCUUUGAAGUCUUGAGUUGAUGCUUAUCCUUCUUUGACAUGGUUGGUCUUCUUUGGCCUUUAUUUCUUGGAGUUGUCAUCCGAGUUAAGGACAUAUGGCUAGGACACAUGUGAGUAGGAUGGAUUGUAUGGUGUAGGUAGGUUAGAAUCUCUUGCUAGGUUAAAAUUGAAGGGUUAUGCAACUAUCGGAGGGUUAAGGUAGUUGCAUAUGGCCAAGUCGAUCUAUCAUUCUUAAUUUAGUGCAGGGUGAACUAAGUUAAGACUUGCUCUAUAGGAGUAGAGUCUAAUCUAUUUCAUCAGUAUUAUCUAUCAUGUUUAAUAAGUCACUUUAGAUUAGAUCGGAUCUAGGUUAGAUUGGUGUGACUAGCUUGAACUAGAUAAGAUCUAAUUAAUUUGGAUUGGAUCAUGAUUGUUUCUCCGAGGUGAGAUAAGCAAAGUGGUUAGGAUAAGAUAAGAUAAGAUAGAUUCUUUUAAGAUGAGAUCAAUCUAUUAAGGUAAGAGAAUAUCUUUUAAGAUAAGAAGGAUCUUAUGAAGCUAGAUAUAUUUUAGUGGAGGAUAUUCUUAGUUGAUCUAGUUAUAUUAUGAUUUCUUAUGCCUUUAUGUAUAUACAGAUGGAAUUGUGGACAUUACUCCACAACUCAUCACAAUCAAUCAAAGAUCCAAAUCAGACAGAUAUCACAAGAACAAACACUCAAGCGUAUAGUUACCUAUAAAAAUAGUUUUGUUUUUGGUCCUAAGAGUAGGUCUCCUAUUCCUAAAGUCUCUUUAGGUACGGGAUUUCAAAGUAUGAAAUCCACAUUUGUCUUUAGAAGUAAAAUGUAAGAACAAUCAGAGUAAAGCGGAAAUAGAUGAGAAAAGAUUAAGGGAAGUUUAGAAAAGAAUCGGAGUAGCAAAGGUAAGUAGACAAUGGUUGUCCAGUUCUAUCUAGGUUUCGUCCUACAGUCAACAUUCCUCUGAUACCACUUCUGUCACACCCGGGUUUUGGGGCACCAAGACCCGGGCGCGAACAUAAUCACCAGGUGUGCUGGGACCAAGUCUCACACAUAUGAUGAAUCAUGGCACAGGAUUGAAUGUCACAUCUUUACUAUAUAGCAAGAGUUCUAUACAAAAUAAAUAAAUAAUUACAUUAUAAGGAGACAACGGUCCAGCAACCCAUAGUUGACUGGGAGACGACGGCCUAGACCUCUCACGAACUCAUCACAGCAUCCUCCAUGCGCCUCAUCCUGCGGUACCUGUUCUUGACCUGUGGGGGGGGUGUGAGACAGCAAGAGUGAGCUCACAUACGUUCAUCGCUCAACAAGUUGUGGGGAAUAAUGUGCAUGAACUCGCCAAAGGUGGGAGCUCACGUGAAGUGUAAGGCUUACCAAAGAGGAUGGUUAGAGCUGAGCAUUGCUUUUAAAGUUGGUCAAAAUUUUAUUAGCAGUUACUAAGUAUAAGUAAAUACCGACCCAAUUAAGUAGUCGAACAAAAGUAACAACCUCACCUGCGAUGCAAUGCAUAUGACAAAUUGAGUUUAGGUUCCAUAAUUUAAUCAUGUGAGUGUCCGAGCUGCUCAUGACCGUGAGCACGGCUAGUAUACCAGUUUUACACUCUGCAGAGGUUGCGCAUCUUUACCCACAAGUCAUGUUACCCAUCUGCCAAGGGAUCGCGACUUCCCAUACACCUCUACCGAGGAGGCGAGGCAGGGUAACACUACGAGGCCUUUACAAAGUUCCACUAGCUUCAGAAAACCCGCUACAGUUUAUAGGAAGCUCCAAUGCAGGAAUCCCUUGCAGGACCGCCAUCGCAGCAAAAUCCUCCCGAGGGCCUCUCUGCACUGACCACUCCCCUACUGCCCUUGCCCCUUUCGGGUAAGGUAGUCUUCCACUAGCUUUCCUAAUUAGUUAGCCAAGGGCGUCCAUAAACCCUUGUGGUAGCACUGUUUUCCCGGGUGGUUCUCCAUGUUCCAAUUAACAUAAUGAUCUUAUCAUGAACAGUAAAUAACAACUGAUAAUAACAGUGUGAUCAUGAAUAAUGUAUCUCCAUACCCAAAACCACAUAUAGCACUAGCAAGUACUACCCAAAAAGUGCAGGGGUAAUCAAGGUAUAAAGAUAAUCAAACUAGGGUAACCUGUUGGGUCCCAUCAAAAUUAACCUAUGCAGAUCAUUAUGAUUAAUCAGAACAUGACUGGGUAAAAGAAGUGAUCAAGGGCACAACUUGCCUGGGACUUGAGAUUCCAGGUACCAGGAUGAUCUUCAGGUGACUCGUGACCUCACGCUAGUCGUAGCAAUACAAACAGACAUGGUAUAGACAAAAUUAACAUUACACCAAACAUAAGCACAAACUGUAUAAUAAUACUCUACGCGUCAUAACGAGAUCGUAGAAACAAGAACCACUAAAUUCGGAGCUACGGUUACCGAGUUAUAAAUUUCCGAAGAUCCACGUGGUUAAAUAUAGAAUAGACUAAGUGCAACAUUUUAACCUAUUUUUCAUGACAAAACAAAGUUACCAGAUGAUAAUAAAUAUUAUUGUGAGACUAAUGCAACUAGAAUGGAUUAAAACGGAGUUACGAAUAUUGAGUUAUGAAUUUCUGAAAUUAUUUAGCACCUAGAAUAGAUUAAUUUAAUUGAGCAAUCUUAAUUCAAGUUUCAUGGUUAACAAAGGUACUAGGUGGUAAACAAUAUUAAUACAAAAUUAUUGCAACUGAAAUGACUCAAUUUGGAGUUAAAUUCAUCAAGUUAUGAAUUUCCUAAGUUUGGGACAUUAUUUUGCAUUAAAAAGAAUUUCUGUAUUAAAUUUAAUAGAUUUCUGAGUUACUUGGACUGCGGCCACUAUUUAACAGAAACCCAGGGGGUUCUGCGCAAAAGCCACCAAGACUCAGAACUCCCCCAGUGUGGACUGCGGGUUGUUUAUAUGGUUUUACAGGGUCUCUUUAGCAAAUAUUACAUCGCGAAGGGGUACCGGUGAAGAUCGGUCGUCCGAUCACUGAUCAAGGGCCCAUAUUAGAUCGCACAUCCCUGCAAACUGGUACGACUCGGUAUCCUUGGAUCAUAAAUGAACGGCCUAGAUUUUAUGAGGCUUGAUCUGCAUCGGACGGCCGAGAAGGGUUCAGGCCGAACCGAUACCCAAGAUUUAAUCCCUGCCCUACAACUCUGAUCUAACGACCAUCCACACGUCUUCAACCUCCAGACGCACACAAUGGCCGCGCAGGGUGACAGCCGCUGGGCUACCUCGAGGAGGAGCACAGCCAUCAGCUCGCCCCACACGCGGGACAGGCGUCGAGGCAGCAGCGGACGCCUGGCCGUUGCCCAAGGCGAGAGCACACCCAGGUAAAAAAAUAUCGUUGCAUGGACAUAACUACUCCUGACCUUUACGAAUCUCGACGGAGGGGGAGGUACCUGCACGAUUCGGUGGUGGCCAGGCCCAGGCUUUCCCGAAAUGAUGGCGUCGAUGUUGCUACCCACAGUACAAGCAGCGUUUGCGGAGUAGACGAACUCCGGCGAGAUCCUCCAUGGCACAGGUUCGAUCUCCAGAGCCGGCGCCCGGGACCCUGGUGACGGUGUGUCCGAUUCCUUUGGUGGCUGCUUUUAGUUCUCUCUCGGCAAGGGUACGAGCGGUAGAUGGUGAUGGCUGUAUGCCUCAAGUAUUUAUGCACCAGAGGGGGAGAUCGGCUGGUGGUACCUGGCUAGCAUCUUGUGCGGCAUGCAGCGAUUUGGUCGCAAGGUUGUUACGAGGAUAGAGAUGCUACAGCAGAGCCCCACAUGUCCACGAGCCGGUGCCCGCGAGCGUCCUUCCGCCCGACAUGCAUGGCCCUGUACGUGCCGAUAGCAAACGGAUGCAUGCAAGAGAAUUCAACGACCAAUUUGCUAGCGAA
rnacentral:lncRNA from 1 species